ensembl:lincRNA
AUUCCUAAUAUUAUUUGUCUUUAGAGCAGACAUCCUUCAGCAAAAACAUCCUCCUUUUGAAUUUUGCACUCAUCCUAUCUGUAACAGAACAUCUGAUUUGUUCCCGGAAGUGAAAGCCCAGUGGCCUGGCCGCCUUACCUGCUCAGGUGCUCCGGGCUCAAUUUGGAGGGCGGAGCCUCCCAGCCUUGGCUCAGGUUCCCAGAGCCCCUCGCCUUAUCGGGAGCUUCUGAACUGCCGGGAAGGGAGAGCCCGGGAGGGAGGGCCGGAGAGUUCCAGGUUCCUCUCAAAGCCUACAGUGCCACAUUUCUGACUUCAGUUCCUGCCUCCGUGUGCUGCCUUCUCACCCCUGCCUCUUGCAUCUUCUUCAAAAUAGGUGACGCCUUGAAAGACCAGCUGGGGUCCCCCCUGCACCACAUGACGUCUGCCCGACCCCUGAGGCUCAUCUUUACAAAACAAGCCCGGAACCCCCUAAGUUAGCCUCUCCUGUCCAGGCCCAUUGGACUUGAAAUUCUUGCAGCCGUGACACCUGUCAGGCACUGGUAUCCGGGGUGGGUGGGGAAGGAGGCUGGAGUCUGGUGUGGUGGUUUCUGCUAGGCGAUCCCACAGGGAGAGCAGGGGAGGAGAAAAAGAGAGAGGUUUAACCUGGGCAGGCGUGCCCUUGGGCCGGCCCCCCAAUGCUGAAGGAUUCUGAGAGAUUUGAGUUACUGAUGGUGUGUGUGUGUGUGUGUGUGUGUGUGUGUGUGUGAGAGAGAGAGAGAGAGAGAGAGAGAGAGAGAGAGAGAGAGAAUUAGGAAUGAAACCUAGAACUCCUGAAUGUUCAUACAUCUUUGGAUUUUAGCUUAUGUACUCAGUCUUUUUGAGGUCGGAUCUCUUGGUAUUCAUGUUGGCCUCGAACUCACUAUGUAGCUCAAACUAUGAACUCAAGGCAAUCCUCCUGCCUCAGCUUCCCGAGUGUUGGGAUUACAGGCGUGCGACACCACAGCGGCUUCUGUUUUCGGUUUUUAGAGGGGAGGGGGAUGCUGUGGGCUGCAGAAACAGUGUAGCGAAGUGGCUUUGCAGAGACCGGAAUUACGGAUGCCAGGAAGUCACUGCUUCUCCGAGAGGCCUUCCUACUUAUGGGGUGAGGGGCGAUAUCAGUUCUGUUGUUAGAGGAGAAGGUGAGGGUCACCAGGGCCUGAGCCGCUGCAGGACUGCGGGACCACAGGAAAACUAGGCUGCGCCUGAGUCCCUUCUCCUUACCAACACGAGUGGACGGGAUUUGCUUUACAAAGGCCACAUCAUUCUGGAUGGCUGCUGCAGGGCCGAGCCAAUGGAAAGAAGAACGCAAGUAUGGAAUUUGCCAUUUGCUAGCCAAAUCAGUACUUCAAAUAAAAGAUCAAGUUAGAAUUUGACCCCAAUAAUCUCAACACCUCGGAGCAGGAAGUAGACCGUGGGAGCUAGGGAAGGCUCACCUCUCGGAAGACCACAAACGCAGCGCCGAAGAGCCACUGCUUCUCAGGUCUGAGCUGGAAAACACUGGACAGAGAAAAGAGAAAAAUACAGGGGGAAAGUUUAAAGCGUCGUGUUGAACAAAGGAAUGAACAAAGUUGGAGUGAUUUCCGUCCAACUACGACCAACUCCAUUCGGAAACGGACAUUUGCUUGAAACCAAGAUUGGGAGAUGUGUGUGGCUUAAAUGACAAACGUCCGCAGUGUUUUGGAAACCGAGGCUAUUUCAUUUCACAUCUCUCUCUCUCUCUCUCUCUCUCUCUCUCUCUCUCUCUCUCUCUCUCUCUCUUUUAUCGUGUCUUCUUAGAGAGCAUGGAAGUGGGGUCAAAAGAAAUCAACUCAGAUCUUGUGUGACUUAAAGCUGUAGAGCCCUGAGGGAAGUUAUUAACAUCUCCGAGCUGUUGCUGUCACCUGCUAAAUAGGAUUGUUUUGAAAAUUAAAUGAUAUAAGGUGUGUUUGCACACAUGGAGCUGCUGUUCACAGAUAUAAUUACCACUGCUAAAAUUACUAUUCAGAAUAAAAAGCC